AACUCUCAACAACGGAUAUCUAGGCUCUCGCAACGAUGAAGAACGCAGCGAAAUGCGAUACGUAGUGUGAAUUGCAGAAUUCCGUGAGUCAUCGAAUCUUUGAACGCACAUUGCCGGUCGAGUCUUCGGACGAGACCACAUCUGCCUCAGCGUCG
rnacentral:rRNA from 2 species